UCAAAUAACUAAAAGAAUAAGGAUUCCUAAUGCGAGUAGAAGUGUUAAGUGAUUGCUUGGUUUUGAAUAGGAUUCAAACCUUAUGCCUAUUUAAAGAAGCUUUUCCUAAGGCUUCUAGGCAAUUGAACCAGCAGUCCCACACCUUCAUAGAGCAGCCCACGCCCCCUCUCUUUCUUCUCCCCUCUCUUCUCUCUUGAAGAUCCAACGCCUAAGCCUUGGGCAUCCUCCAUCUUCCACACCCAAAGGAGUUUGGGUGUCCCCUUUGUUUGCUGGUUUCUAAUUC
rnacentral:lncRNA from 1 species